CAGGCCGCUGGGCCGGCGCGGCCUGCGCGGCUCGGGAGGAUGGGCCCGCUCGGCCGGGCCGCGCCUGGCCCCUCAGCCCGGCGGGGGCAGCCGGGGGCCGGGCCUUGCCCGCUCGCGGAGGCGGCGAGCUCCCCUGGGACGCAGCCCGCGCCUCCGGCUCUCGCCUCCGGCCUCAUGCCCGAGGCCCUGCGUGGGGCCCGGGACCGUCCCAGGAGCACGAAGGGACUGCUGRGCCCUGCCUGGGCAGGCCAGUGUCUGCUCGGGGAGCUGAUGGCUUCAGGAAGAAAACUGGAGGGAAAGCAGCAGCAGUAUUUCAUGUGUAGUGACCAUCCUUGUUGGAAUAAGCAGCAGAACAGCAAGUUUCCCACCUUUGCUCUUUGCACCUUGUGGCAAGAACAGAAGCCUGCAGAAUGUGGAUUAAGUAGAAAUAAUCCCAAUAGACUUGAGUACAAGAAAGGCAAUGGAAACAAAAGCUGCUACUUAGGCAUUUUUAGAAGGAAAUAUAUUACCUAUAACUGAUUAAGUAGGACACCRUUUGGAAUUGCUUUGAAUGGGAGAGCAAAUAAAAG
rnacentral:lncRNA from 1 species